rnacentral:tRNA from 1 species
GGAGGGUUCGCCUAGAGGCCGAUGGCGCUGGUCUUGAAAACCGGUAAGGCAGCGAUGUCUUCGUGGGUUCGAAUCCCACACCCUCCGCCC